rnacentral:rRNA from 1 species
AGAGUUUGAUCAUGGCUCAGGAUGAACGCUAGCGGCAGGCCUAAUACAUGCAAGUCGAGGGGCAGCAGCUUUAUAGCAAUAUAGAGGCUGGCGACCGGCAAACGGGUGCGGAACGCGUACACAACCUUCCUUGAAUAGGGGGAUAGCCCAUAGAAAUGUGGAUUAAUACCCCGUAAUAUAGCGGUGUGGCAUCACACUGUUAUUAUAGUUUCGACGAUUCGAGAUGGGUGUGCGGCUGAUUAGGUAGUUGGCGGGGUAAAGGCCCACCAAGCCUUCGAUCAGUAGCUGAUGUGAGAGCAUGAUCAGCCACACGGGCACUGAGACACGGGCCCGACUCCUACGGGAGGCAGCAGUAAGGAAUAUUGGUCAAUGGACGCAAGUCUGAACCAGCCAUGCCGCGUGAAGGAUGAAGGUCCUCUGGAUUGUAAACUUCUUUUAUAGGGGGCGAAAAAAGGUUUUUCUAAAUCACUUGACAGUACCCUAUGAAUAAGCACCGGCUAACUCCGUGCCAGCAGCCGCGGUAAUACGGAGGGUGCAAGCGUUAUCCGGAUUCACUGGGUUUAAAGGGUGCGUAGGCGGGUAGGUAAGUCAGA